CCAUAAGCCCUGUACCUCGCAUAUGCCACUCUUGCGACAAAACCGAAUCAGGUGGAAUGACUCGUAUAUGCAAAGUUGCAUAUGCGAGGCGCUCUUAUACGAGGUUUAACUGUAUUCCCAAAGGAGAAGAAGGAUGAAAUACCAAGUUCCACCCAAGGGAACAUAAAGAGAGAAACGGAACUUCCAAUUCCUAGGGAGUUGUUCACUGUUCUGGGUGAAUGAAAAGGAGGAGGAGGACGGAAUAAUAUACUCCCGGCGGCGUUUCUGAUCCGACAGAAGUUGUUAUCAAUGGAACUGGUAACCAACAAUAUUCCAAUCGAAUCCUACUGCUGACAACCCAGCGUUUCCGUGUUGUCCCACGGAACGAAAGCUGUAACGAUCGCA